AAAUAUACAUGAUAGCUCAUUCUCAAGGCUCUGAGCCUUUCCCAUUCAUACAGAGAUAAAAUGUUGCAGGACAGAGAAUAACGUUUGUCUUAUUGGAAGUUUAUAGGAACAUUGUGACCAGAUCUACAGGGACAGCAGAGAGAACAAAGGAUUCUGGAACCCAGGAAUUUGCACAGUCAAGCACACCCCCUCCCCUUGGAGUAUAAAACAAACCCAAAUUCUCACUCAGGCUGGCCUAGGAAACUUUCUGCUGUGAAUAAGGCUGCUGUACCUGCCAUGCCAAGUUCCAAGCAGCUGAUGUAUUAAUGAGCAUCGCUGUGGCCUGCCUGCUCUUUUGUGUCCCUCUCAGAACUGGAACAAAAGACACGCUCCAUGGGUAUCAGUGCAGUGGACCCGUCUUUCCGAUUCCUCAGCCUGGGAAGCUGGCCGCCCCCGGAGUCUGCAGGAUGAAUUGAGUGAGACUCUGCCUCCCGGAGGACCAUCCAUAGGGCCAGCUGUGCUUGCUUUUCUUGGGCUGCUGUGGGAUGGGGCCCCAUGGAUCUCCCCAGUCUAGACACAGUAAGGGGAAACCAGAGGGGGCUUGAUUCCCGCCCCCAACCCUCAGAGGUAGGUGUCGGGCUGUACAGAGAGACAUACAAGUUAGUUCCAACAGGCAUCUGCUUUCCGCCUCCGGCUCAGAGUGCCCACACCUGCUGUUACCUGUCCAGGUACCCCACCCGCUCCCCAUUGGGGGAGGCUGGGGGUGGGGAGACCAGAGAGAGAGCUGGGAGGGGAGUGAAGAAGAUGUAACACACUGAGCCAAGAGCACUCAGGGAAAUAAAGGAUCUAUUUUUUUCCAUUUGUUCUCA